AAUGUAAAUAAAAUGCUACAGAAAACAAGGAGUUUUCAGGGCUGCCAGUCUUGCAGUAAAGACUGAGUGGUAGUAUAGGUCUCCUACAUGU
rnacentral:ncRNA from 1 species